UCAUAUUUUCUCACGUUUACUAAAACUAAUAAGACAGUACCCAUGAAUAUCUCGGGCAGAAGCCUACCUCUGCAUAUCGAUAACUGUCGGAAGUCGGUGAAUGGGGUGUCUCCUUGCAAGUGUAACGUUAUAGUUAGAGCUGAAAAGGUAAAAUAUCUGGGUUUAUUGAUUGACGGCAAUCUUUCAUUUAAACACCACUUUCAGCACUAAGUGGAAGAGUAAGGAAAUGUAUAUAUAUCAUGAAAAAGCUUCGCUGUUGCACCUCAGAGCAAGUGCUACGGCUUGUCUACUAUGCCCUCUGCCAAUCAAUAAUCAAAUAUGGCAUCGCAGUCUGGGGCAGUGCCGCAAAAACCACACUUAUAACGCUGGAGAGGGCUCAGCGUGCUGUCAUCAAGGUCAUGCUGCGCAAACCUCUUUUUUACCCAACGAAUUCCCUUUACCGGGACUCGAAACUCCUAAGCGUGAGACGGUUAUAUGUGUCUAAAGCAGUAGCUCAAGCUCAUGCAACGGUAAAAAUGUGGCUUGUGUCGUUAACAUAUCACGAAACGGAGGCUCUUCUUGUACCAAGUUAACGCACGCGCACACGCAUACGCACACACACGAACACACACACACACACACACACACACACACACACACACAUAUUUGUAUAGUAGUAUCCACCGUUUUGUAAUGUAUUUUAGUGUGUUGUUAUAUUUUAGUUUUUUAAUCUUCUCUUUCUGAUUUGUAACGUCUGUACCUAUUUGUAACGUCUUUAUCCUUAUUGCCAAUGUAUUGCACUCAAGGGUCCCGAGAUACAGGCUCAGCCUAGUUUGGGGUCCGCCAGUAUACCAAUUAUGUUUUUCUGUGUUCUGUAUAGAAAUAAAUAAUU